rnacentral:misc_RNA from 1 species
GUGAAGUUUUGCCGAUUGGAAAAAUGUCUAGCGCAGUGGAUGCUGUUGGAAAUCCGAUCCCAACAUCGGCGGUGCUGAUGUCGGCGUCGAAGCACAUAGAUAUUAGGUGCCGGAACGAGAAUGUAGCAUAUCUCAAGUGCAAGAAGGACGAUCCAAACCCGGAGAAAUGCCUCCAAAAAGGUCAACAAGUCACUCGCUGUGUUCUUAGCCUGUUGAAGGAUCUUCAUCAGAGGUGUAACAAAGAGAUGGAUGCUUAUGCUGGAUGCAUGUACUACAACACAAAUGAGUUUGAGAUGUGUCGUAAUGAGCAGAAGGAUUUUGAGAAAGCCUGUCCUUAUUGACUCGACUGGCGAAUGAUGUUUUUCAUUUAAGAAAUAAAAACUUGAAUGUAUUUUGCAAACAGAGAAGAGCAUAUUGUUGUUAGCUACCUUUCAUCAAUAUGUUUGUGUUUGGAACCCUUUCACAGGGCACUUGCCAAUUUGAUGUUACUCUUAAAUUUGUCUUCAGUAUAAAUCAUGAAGCAGAAAUUCUUACAUAACUUGUUUUUA